rnacentral:tRNA from 1 species
GAACGCAUAGCUCAGUUGGUUAGAGCGCCGCUUUUACACAGCGGAGGCCCAAGGUUCGAGUCCUUGUGCGUUCA